rnacentral:rRNA from 1 species
AGAGAACAGAAAUCUCUUGUAGACCAAAAGGGGAAAAGCUCACUUGAUUUUGAUAUCCAGUACAUAUACAAACCGUGAAAGCGUGGCCUAUCGAUCCUUUAACUUUACAAGUAUUAAGCUAGAGGUGUCAGAAAAGUUACCACAGGGAUAACUGGCUUGUGGCUGCCAAGCGCUCAUAGCGACGUAGCUUUUUGAUCCUUCGAUGUCGGCUCUUCCUAUCAUUGUGAAGCAGAAUUCACAACGUGUCGGAUUGUUCACCCGUUAAUAGGGAACGUGAGCUGGGUUUAGACCGUCGUGAGACAGGUUAGUUUUACCCCUACUGAUGAAUUGAUGUUGCGACAGUAGUCUAACCUAGUACGAGAGGAACAGUUAGAUCAGAUACUUGGUUAAUACGGUUAGCUGAACAGCUAAUGCCGUGACGCUACCAUCUGUCGAGUUAUGUACUGAAGCCUCUAAGUCAGAAUCCGUGCUGGAAGCGAACUUCUAGUAGUAAUAAAUAGAAAAAGACAA